rnacentral:rRNA from 1 species
GAUGAACGCUAGCGGCAGGCCUAAUACAUGCAAGCUGAACGGCAAGAUUUGUAGCAAUACGAGUCCUAGAGUAGCGUAAGGGUGCGUAACACGUAUGCAAUCUGCCCGCAACAGGAGGAUAGCUUAGCGAAAGUUGAGAUAAGACUCCAUAAGAUCACGAGAGGGCAUCUGAUUGUGAUUAAACUACAAGGGGUUGCGGAUGAGCAUGCGUCUGAUUAGUUAGUUGGCGGGGUAACGGCCCACCAAGACGAUGAUCAGUAGGGGAACGU